rnacentral:rRNA from 1 species
UACGAAGGGGGCUAGCGUUGCUCGGAAUUACUGGGCGUAAAGGGCGCGCAGGCGGCUUGGCAAGUCGAGUGUGAAAUACCUCAGCUUAACUGAGGAACGGCGCUCGAAACUACCUCGCUUGAGGGCGGGAGAGGGAAGUGGAACUCUCGGUGUAGGGGUGAAAUCUGUAGAUAUCGAGAGGAACACCGGUGGCGAAGGCGGCUUCCUGGCCCGUACCUGACGCUGAGGCGCGAAAGCGUGGGGAGCAAACAGG